CCGCCGGCGACCGGCGCACGGGUGAGUAACACGUAUGCAACCUGGCCGUGACAGAUGGAUAACCGGGAGAAAUCCCGCCUAAUACAGCAUGGACGCCGGGAAGGGACAUCCCUUUCCGGCCAAAGGGGGCGACUCCGGUCACGGAUGGGCAUGCGGCGCAUUAGGUAGUUGGUGGGGCAACGGCCCACCAAGCCGACGAUGCGUAGGGGUUCUGAGAGGAAGGUCCCCCACAUUGGAACUGAGGCACGGUCCAAACUCCUACGGAAGGCAGCAG
rnacentral:rRNA from 1 species